ensembl:lncRNA
CAUGAGAAGCCAAAGAGCACAACUCCACCAAAUGGGAUAAAGCUAUUGGUGAUGAUGGAAGAUGGCAGUUUCAUUCCUUCCAUCAUUAACACCCCUACAGCUUUUCCACCUACUGCUUGGAGCUGAUCCAGAGAGGAGAUGAGAGCCGCUGGCCCUGUCUGUGAUUCUGGGGGAGCUCAUCAUGCCGGCUUCACGGUGCAGCAUCAGGCAGAGCUGCGCGGGACUGUUGGUAUUGAGCAGGGAGGAGCGCCCCGGGCAAAAUCCAUCAAAAAGGAGCUGUUUGCACUGUGGGAAUAGACAUGAAUAAUCCAUGCUUUCUUUACCAUUUCCUCAGUAACUUUUCAGAGGGGAAAAUACAAUCUCCCAUCUCAUGAUGCCCUGGCACAGAUUCUACCAGAUAAUCAGCUGCUUCGCAGAAGAGCAAAGACUGAGCUUCCAGGCACUGCCCAGCUAGACCAGAAUACUAAAGCUGAGAGGGCAGACUCUACCGAGAACAAAC